CCCUUAGAUGUUCUGGGCCGCACACGCGCUACGCUGAAGGAGGCAGCGUGUACUCCUGGAUCGAAAGAUUUGGGUAACCCGCGAAUCUCCUUCGUGCUAGGGAUUGAGGUUUGCAAUUAUCCUUCAUGAACGAGGAAUUCCCAGUAAGUGCAAGUCAUAAGCUUGCGCUGACUACGUCCCUGCCCUUUGUACACACCGCCCGUCGCUACUACCGAUUGAAUGAUUUAGUGAGGACUUCGGACUGGGACCGAUGCGGCUUUCGGGCUGCGUCGGUAUUCUGGAAAGAUGUCCAAACUGUNUNAUUUAGNGGAAGUAAAANUCGUANCA
rnacentral:rRNA from 1 species